AUUGAACGCUGGCGGCAGGCCUAACACAUGCAAGUCGAACGAGUGGCGGACGGGUGAGUAAUGUCUGGGAAACUGCCUGAUGGAGGGGAUAAAUACUGGAAACGGUAGCUAAUACCGCCUACCAUCGGAUGUGCCCAGAUGGGAAUAGCUAGUAGGUGGGGUAAAGGCCUACCAAGGCGACGAUCCGUAACUGGUCUGAGAGGAGGAGCAGUACCACUGGAACUGAGACAAGGUCCAGACUCCUACGGGAGGCAGCAGGGGGGAAUAUUGGACAAUGGGCGAAAGCCUAAUCCAGCCAUGCCGCGUGUGUGAAGAAGGGCUUCGGAUUGUAAAGCACUUUAAGUUGGGAGGCGUUACCAACAGAAUAAGCACCGGCUAACUUCGUGCCAGCCGCGGUAAUAC
rnacentral:rRNA from 1 species